UGGGAUUUGAACGGCGGGCAGGAAGUACUCGAGUAGGGAGUCUGGCCUAGUGAAAGUCUCUGUUUCCUCCUUUUCUUACUUUUCACUCAAUAAAACCCUGCUUUACACACCCUUCAAACCAUCUGUGAGCCUGAAUUUUUACGGCCAUGGGACAGACAAGGAUCCUGUCUUUAUCUAAACUAAGGAAAAGUCCUGCAACAUUUGUGGUGCACAACGUGGGGCUCGAGAAGUGGAAAACGCCUAUUUUGGAGUGAAACCAGGGCCGCCUUAUGAGCUAAACAGAGUGUGUUACAGCUUCAAUAGACUAAACAAGCUCUAAAUUUAUCUUCCUAUGGUCACGGGAUCUCAUAUAUUCUGGCUGUCAUUGUCAUAAUAAGCCACUCUUGGUCAUAUGGAAAAGCAUUCAGCUGCUCCCUGCCUUUGCUCACAGCGUGUGGUACUCUCUUAGAAGCUAUUCCUGGUUCAUUGGUAAUUUGCUAAAAGAAUGCCAGUGGGAACAGAACAGAAGCAUUUUCAAGAUUAAAUUGGCAAUGGUUGUGACUGAUUGGAUGAAGGAAGUAAGGGGGAGAGAUUCAUCAGAGAAAGAAGGCUUCUUUAAGCAGCAGAAUUGAGGAAUGAGUCAGAAAAUAAAAGAGCAAACAGGUAUACAGCCUUGCUUUUUG
rnacentral:lncRNA from 10 species